rnacentral:tRNA from 1 species
GCCUGACUGGCUUAGUUAGUAGAGCAUGUGACUCUUGAUCCCAGGAUCGUGAGUUCGAGCCCCAUGUUGGGUG